AUCCAAAUACAGAUAUAAAAAUUUAUUAGUGAUGAGAUAAAAUAGCAGUAGCAGUGAUUUUUCACCAGUGAUUUUAAAGUAGCAAUCACAACCUGCUACUCCCGGAUGAAAAUAACAGUGACUGCCACGUUUUUACUUUUUAGUAGUUGGUAAUAUUGGAAAUCUAUUUUCUGUUAUUGCUACUUAUUGUAACUGCUACUAUUUCGUAUUUUGAAUUUUCUAUAAUAUUAUUAUUUUAAUUAACUGCUACUUAUGCAUAGACGAUAGACAUUAGAUAAUAAUUAAAUAAUGUAAUAUAGUAACAUACCAUCAUGAAUAAAUUGGACAAGACGUCGACGGCAUAGAGUAGUUACUUUAUAGUCGAGGGAUAACGUUUAUGAUAACAUAACAAUGAAAUUUCACUCUUAUCAGAAUUAGUUACCAACAUUUCAACAAAUACCUAGUUAUAUAACUUAAUAUAUUAAAUCUAUUCUGUGCAACUACGACGAUCAGAUAUUAAAAGACCUGCCUUAGAAAACACACGCUCGCAUGGCACAGAUGAUCCUAGACAACAUAACAUCCUCCUUGCCAAAACAUUUAAAAAUGGCCCGUGAAGUUGAUGUUCCAAUCGAAAGCUGCAUUUGGGAAACACAUUUAUCGACUGACUCCCAAAUUGAAAAUUUCUUCACUUCAGGCGUCAAUGUAUCGGAUGGUUGAUUAGAGAUCUGUGGUUCAUGUUCAAUUGAUGUAGAUUCAGAUCUGGAUGUCGAAAUUACCUGAGCUGUUAGUUCCACUAUAUCAUUCUUUAAUGAGUUGAGCAUGUUUUCGUUGUGAGUGAAUGACAUUUUUCAAUCCUUGAGCAAUAACUAUAACUAAUGAAGCAGUUAUGUACUGCUUUCUACUCACAGCUCCAAUAGCUUCUUCAAACAUUUUU